UAAAAAUUAAAUUUAAAAUACUAAAAUAGUAAAUAAUUGUUUAUUGAAACUUAAAUAAUUUGGCGGUAUUUUAGUUCAUUUAGAGGAAUCUGUUUAUUAAUUGAUAUUCCACGAAUAAAUUUACUUAAUUUAUAAUUUUGUAUAUCAUUGUUAAAAAAAUAUUUUUUAAUAAAUUUAAUAUUUAAGAAUUAUAAUAAAAAUUUAAAUCAGAUCAAGAUGCAGAUUAUAGUUAAGAAUAUAAUGGAUUACAAUAAAUUUAUUUAAAUGAAUAUUGAUUUGUAAAAAUUAAUUGAAAGUGGAUUUAAAUGUAAUUUUAUUUAAUUUAUUAAAAUGAUUAAAAAUUAAAAUAUGU
rnacentral:rRNA from 1 species